rnacentral:misc_RNA from 1 species
AACAACAACGAAUGAAAUCCCUCGUUACUUAGUGUAGCCUUCGCCACAUGGUGACACUUUCCAAAAUUUUUGUGUUCAAAAUAUUUAAAUAUUAUAAGCUUUCCUUAUAAUAUUUUACAUUUUACAUUAUAUUUUAUUCAAUACCUAUAUUCUUCGUACACAAGACCAAUCCAUUUAUUCAAUAUCAGUCAGGAGACGUACAAGGUUUCGAGAUGUGGUAUACCCAUAGUUUUCGUAAAUUUUCAAGAUCCCAUGCAAGAUGUGCGGAAGCGAUGAAAAGAUCUGUAGAGCGAGAUUUAAAGGAGGGAAUGGAAAUUGAAGGCUUUCUAGUGAACAAGAUAUGAAAAUACCUGAAAGUAUUGCAGAAAAGCAGAAAUAUCUAAGCAAUGUAGUCGAUUUUGCAAAAAACUGGGAUUGGAUUUAUACAUCUCGGCUGACACAUGUCCUCAUUGAAAAAGUAAUACAAAACAACGAAAAAUUUGUAAGCAGUGUAGGAUGUUUACCAUUGGAAAAACUCGACAGAGUUUUUCGUGGAGAAACGGAAGAUGUUGAUAAAGAUUUAUCUGAAUUUCUAAAAUCCUGCAAUAAAUUCACAUUAGACAUCCCCGUCUCAGAAUUACCUUGUGAAACAGAUGAAAAGCAACGGGAGAAACGUCUAAAUCCAAAGAAGCUACAUGAAGUCAGCCGUUUGGGCCACUUUGUGUCCCAAAUCAUUAAAAAACAUGAUCUUACAACAAUAAUUGAUAUCGGCUCUGGGUUGAUUUUUAUUUUAUAAAUGAAUAUAUCUUCAGGGCUACAUAGAUCGAGAAGUUUCGUCCAAAUGCCCUGAGUGUACUUUAAUAGGUGUAGAAGCAGAUCCAAGAAAAUGUUCAAAGGCUGCCGAAUUAAAUGUUUCCCAUGAGAAAAUAACGCAAAUAUGUACAAGACUUGAUUCAGGGAAUGUACAGGAUUUAUCGAAACGUUUAUUGGACACAGAGAAAAUCAGCCGGGCCUGCCUUAUUUCCCUACAUGCUUGUGGGGACCUGACUGUAAACUGUUUCAGGCUUUUGGAAACUUGUAAGGACAUUCAACACUCAGUCCUUAUCACUUGUUGCUAUCACAAAGUAUCUCAUGGAAAUUUUCCAUUAUCAAAAGUUUACAAGGACUGCAACGACUUGUUUCCAACCACUUUUCUCCGAUUGGCGUCAGAUAGAACGAGGACCAACUUUGUCAAUUGUAGCAGUUCUAAAUUUGAUCAGCAUGUAUUUAACAACCUGGCACGAGCGGUCAUUGAACUUUUCUUGCAUAACAGAGGGUUGCAAAUAAGGAAGAAGAAACGAAAGUGGGUUAGAAAGGGUGAUUCAACGGAUUGGGAUUUGUACUUGUCUGAUUGGAUUGACAGGCAUGAAGUCUUCUCAUCUGAAGCAGAUUCCGUGUGCACCGAUCAGGAUUGGCUUAAAAAACAAUUAACUGAGAUAUGGCUUCUAAAUACUUCAAAAUUUAAUUGUAUGAAGGGAUUGUUAAUUCUUCAAAUUUGUUUUCAGUCUGUUGCAGAAUCUUUUGUUUUAAUGGACCGACUUUUGUAUUUAUAUGAAAAAGGUUUUGAAAAUAGUGAGCUAUUAAGAAUAACUGACCCUAGUAUUUCACCAAGAUCGGUCGCUUAUGUAGUAAGAAGGUGACCCUCAAAAAGUUUUAUGAGUUGUACGAAAUAUAAACCUUUCUGGGCAGGUGGGCCUAUACACUAUUGAUAAUGAUUGUAUGUAUGAAAUGUUUUCAUUGUAAAUAAAAUACAACUGCUUUGUAAAUUAUUUUA